rnacentral:rRNA from 1 species
UAACAAAAUUGCAUGCCAGAGAACUACUAGCAACAGCUUAAAACUCAAAGGACUUGGCGGUGCUUUAUAUCCCUCUAGAGGAGCCUGUUCUGUAAUCGAUAAACCCCGAUAAACCUCACCGCUUCUAGCUAAAUCAGUCUAUAUACCGCCAUCUUCAGCAAAC